UCCCUGGUGUUCUAGUGGCUAAGGAUCCCGCACUCUCACUGCCGCGGCCCGGGUUUGAUUCCCAGGCAGGGAA
rnacentral:tRNA from 1 species